CCUACGGGUGGCAGCAGUGGGGAAUAUUGCACAAUGGGGGAAACCCUGAUGCAGCAACGCCGCGUGAGUGAAGAAGUAUUUCGGUAUGUAAAGCUCUAUCAGCAGGGAAGAGAAUGACGGUACCUGACUAAGAAGCCCCGGCUAACUACGUGCCAGCAGCCGCGGUAAUACGUAGGGGGCGAGCGUUAUCCGGAUUUACUGGGUGUAAAGGGAGCGUAGACGGGUCUGCAAGUCUGAAGUGAAAGCCCGGGGCUAAACCGCGGAACGGCUUGGGAAACUGUGGAACUGGAGUGAUGGAGAGGCAAGCGGAAUUCCUGGUGUAGCGGUGAAAUGCGUAGAUAUUAGGAGGAGCUACAGUGGCGAAGGCGGCUUGCUGGACAGUAACUGACGUUGAAGCUCGAAAGCGUGGGGAGCAAACAGGAGUAGAUACCCGUGUAGUC
rnacentral:rRNA from 1 species